rnacentral:rRNA from 1 species
CCCACGGGAGGCAGCAGUGGGGAAUAUUGGACAAUGGGCGAAAGCCUGAUCCAGCCAUGCCGCGUGUGUGAAGAAGGCCUUCGGGUUGUAAAGCACUUUCAGUGGGGAAGAAAGCCUUGGGGCUAAUACCCUCGAGGAAGGACAUCACCCACAGAAGAAGCACCGGCUAACUCCGUGCCAGCAGCCGCGGUAAUACGGAGGGUGCGAGCGUUAAUCGGAAUUACUGGGCGUAAAGCGCGCGUAGGCGGUCUGAUAAGCCGGUUGUGAAAGCCCCGGGCUCAACCUGGGAACGGCAUCCGGAACUGUCAGGCUAGAGUGCAGGAGAGGAAGGUAGAAUUCCCGGUGUAGCGGUGAAAUGCGUAGAGAUCGGGAGGAAUACCAGUGGCGAAGGCGGCCUUCUGGACUGACACUGACGCUGAGGUGCGAAAGCGUGGGUAGCAAACAGGAUUAAUACCCUGGAGUC